rnacentral:tRNA from 1 species
CUCGCCGCUGGCGAGCGCGGCUGCCGUGGCCGUGCUCGCGGCGCGGCGCGGGCCGCUCGGAUCCGGGCCGCCGGGCC